UGGAGGUCACUUCGCAACGAUAGGUUGCAAACUCCGCCAGGCCUGGAAGGGAGCAACGGUAGCGACAGACUCGUGUGCUGAAUCAUGGCUUCCGUGA
rnacentral:SRP_RNA from 2 species